UGUCAGUCCUCAGAAAAGCUUGCCAUGGAAAAAAUGCCUGGUCAUCAGCCUGUUCUGCUCCUGGCACUUCUUUUGGAUGAUCCCAAGCAAGUUCCUUCUCUCUCUUGAAUGGCUUCUUUACAAUGGAAAAUGGAGGGAAAAGUCAUCUAGGUGAACUAGAAGCACGCAUUUCAAAUAGACCAGAUGAACUGGGUCCUGGCCCAUGGAUAACACGAGACAUAGCAUUCAAGGGCAGGCUGUCUG
rnacentral:lncRNA from 1 species